GCAUAUCUGUACGGUGAAGAGAAAAACGAAGGUGGUCACUGUCCUGCAGGGGUCAAGAAUAAAUUCACAGCUUGUAUUGCUUGCGCAUCUGGCUUGGCCUGCAAUGUGACUGUUGAUCCAGGAGUUGAGAGGCCACUUACUGUAAAGUGUCAGUGGAGGUGGGGUUGGCGGGGGGGGGACCUCGCACACAAAUGUCUUCCUAGCUGAUCACGGGGCUUGGGGCUGCUUUUUUGUUUGUUUGGUUUUUUUCCUUCCCCCUGCAGUGACACAGGUCCGGGAUGUCUCCACCACUGUAGUAGAAAUGAUGUCUGCGGUACCAGCGCUCGCUCCCUCUCCUCUCUCCAGCAUGUAAAUGGGUCUCUGCAGUGCCAUAAACUGCAGCGAUGGGCAAAUAAGGAGCACGGAUGCAAACCAGAGACCAGAGGAAGUAUCCUCCUUCUGGACUGGCUCAGUCUGGUCUUCAGGUCUUAGAAGAAAAGGCAAAACAUCAAAUUACCGAGCCAGGUACAACUUAGAGAAACAAAAUUAUGGAAGCAAUGAAUGGGAGGAAUAGAGCCGAAGGACAGCGGGCUGCUAUGCUCGCAUGCAACCUGACAGUGAUCCAUAAGGAGCCAUUCACUCUCUGCUUUGGCAUCAGGAAGGGAGGUACAGCACAGAUGAAGCUUCUCCCCACCCCAAGGACAUUGCAAAAAAUGUUGCAUGAAUAGCAAAGGCUGUUAUGUACCAGCUCCGUGGAGCGGGAUGCUGCGGGGUCACAGGCCUCAGAUGUGCACUCCCUGUAACACAGCCAUCCAGACCAGGCUGUUAAUUGCGGCUUGUACCAGUCUGCCACAACAAUAAGCUCCAAGGAGAGGUCUGGGGACAGAAGCAGCAACAGGCCAAGAUGUUUGGACUAACGUGCCGCUCAGCACUACGAGACAGUGAACCUACAGCAGCAAAGCAGACAGCAAAAUUAUCUUUACCCAGCUAAUGCAAGGCUCAUUGAUUUAAUAAAAGGAACCAAAGGAGAGAGACAGAGACUGGAGAUAACUGAAAAUCAAGUGAAAGCCCCAGAGAGGCUGCAGACCCAUCAUCAGGGUUUAAUUCUGAGUACGCAGCAUUCUCCCUUUCUGCCACCUUUUUUAUUCCAGUUGUACAGAGUGUUACCUCAGGAGAAAGGAAUCUUUCCUUCUCAAAGGUUCACCUUGCCAAGAGGUGUGGCACACACAGAGAAAGAGAAGCCACAUUCAUGCUGAAGCAAGCUUUGGGCAACUUUCCCUUUUGUAGCAGGCUCAUGUAAGAGGCUUGUGUAUUCCUCCACUCUGUGGCUAUGGUGUUUGCCACAGGACCCACGUUUUUUGCCAACACUCCAGGCUUUUACACCAUUGUCUGUGUUUCUGCUUCAGAGUUGAAAAGAGACCCCUAAAAUCUAAGUCCACUGUAAGUCAAAGCAAUAUUGUUUUCCUGAGCCAGCAGGCAGCCUUAGCCCAUGGCUUUGGGAAGUGCCACAACUGCCACCACCAUGUCAGGUUCACAAGCCAUUCCUCACCUCUGUUUUGACUUGGUAUAUGUUGGUUGCAUUAACAGACAAGAAAUGAGGGGGCUACGCCUCCACAGACAUUGCCCGACAACACAGGAUAUACCGCCAUGUCACAAUAUGUCCUUGUGCCUCUGCAGCUCCCCUGCUGAGGGCCGACACGGGGGCUCUAUAUAUUCCCUCCACAAAGAAUACCACAAAAUAUGGGGGUGCCGGUGAAGGAGUGGGGGUGGGAAACAGCACCUGAAUGUGACCUUUGCUGAAUGGCUGGGACGGAGGACCCUCAGUGUCUCUAAAGGCACUGCAGCCUAUUGACCCAGAAGCGCAGAACUAAGCCAGAGAAGAAAGUCAGUUGCUGUAGAAGGUAAAUGUGACUUUACCUGCCACCAGGGUAGUUCAGACAACGGGAAUAAAGAGAACUCAGAACCGAAGCAGUCAGGUCCUGGUCAAGGGCUACCCAAAACUCCUGCAGUGUACUCUCGCAGCAGCUAAGAGCCACCCUAAACCCCAUCAUGUUGCCCCCUCCGAGGAGGGCACGUAGCAAGAGGUACAUACACCAAAGCAGCAGCAAACUUCCAAAACAAAACUCUUUCAUUGCAGACCUUCCUGCCCCUCGAGGGAGAGAAAGAGAGCAGAGAUCCAAGAUAGAUGCUAGUCAGCUGGCUGAGUGCAGUACAGAGAGGGGCUCUGACACCACGGUGGUCAGAGGGACAUGAACCCACAUUGACUCAAGCAUUUUUAUUUACUGCUGGUGAUGUGCUGAAACUGAUAUGACUCCCAGCUGAAUACAGUAUUGACCAAAAGAUAUUAAUCAAUUUGACAUGCAAGAUGUCCACUGUCUAGAAGAAACUGUCUUUCAAUCCACUAGUUGUAAUGUGUCAUCUACACUGCAUGUUUUAUACCAUUAAUAAUAUCUACAAAAAAUGGGUGAAUAAGAGGUAUAAGAAGUUAGAGAUUU